CAAGGUUGACCUCGGAUCAGGUAGGACUACCCGCUGAACUUAAGCAUAUCAAUAAGCGGAGGAAAAGAAACCAACAGGGAUUGCCCCAGUAACGGCGAGUGAAGCGGCAACAGCUCAAAUUUGAAAUCUGGCCUUCGGGUCCGAGUUGUAAUUUGGAGAGGAUGCUUCUGGCGCGGCGCCGUCCGAGUUCCUUGGAACAGGACGCCAUAGAGGGUGAGAGCCCCGUACGGGCGGACGCCUAGCCUCUGUGAAGCUCCUUCGACGAGUCGAGUAGUUUGGGAAUGCUGCUCAAAAUGGGAGGUAAAUUUCUUCUAAAGCUAAAUACCGGCCAGAGACCGAUAGCGCACAAGUAGAGUGAUCGAAAGAUGAAAAGCACUUUGAAAAGAGGGUUAAAAAGUACGUGAAAUUGUUGAAAGGGAAGCGCCUGUGACCAGACUUGCUGCCCGCGGAUCAUCCGGCGUUCUUCGCCGGUGCACUCCGCGGGCGGCAGGCCAGCAUCGGUUUUCCUGGGGGGUCAAAGGUCGCGGGAACGUGGCUCCUUCGGGAGUGUUAUAGCCCGCGGCGUCAUGCCUCUGGGGGGACCGAGGACCGCGC
rnacentral:rRNA from 1 species